AUACGGAGGAUCCGAGCGUUAUCCGGAUUUAUUGGGUUUAAAGGGAGCGUAGGCGGACUAUUAAGUCAGCUGUGAAAGUUUGCGGCUCAACCGUAAAAUUGCAGUUGAUACUGGUCGUCUUGAGUGCAGUAGAGGUAGGCGGAAUUCGUGGUGUAGCGGUGAAAUGCUUAGAUAUCACGAAGAACUCCGAUUGCGAAGGCAGCUCACUAGACUGUUACUGACACUGAUGCUCGAAAGUGUGGGUAUCAAACAGGAUUAGAUACCCUGGUAGUCCACACAGUAAACGAUGAAUACUCGCUGUUUGCGAUAUACAGUAAGCGGUCAAGCGAAAGCAUUAAGUAUUCCACCUGGGGAGUACGCCGGCAACGGUGGAACUCAAAUGAAUUGACGGGG
rnacentral:rRNA from 1 species